ensembl:lncRNA
AUGAUUUUUUCAUCUUUGCUUGAAAUCCAGGAGAGGAAAAGGUCAACAUGGAAAAGUGUUCUCCCAGUUCUAGUGACAGCUGUGCCUGCACACCACCUGUGCCCAUGGCAGGGUGCUUGGAGACUGGAUGAUGUUGAUGAUACUUUGCAACACCAAGUGCUCAGGGAUUCUGGGAUUGCCCAAGUGGAGAGCAAAACUGAGCCGUGUAGUCCCUGCUUUUUUUCAGCACAUGCUGCUUCUUCCUUUGUUCCAAGCAAGUCCAGGAUUUGGUUUCAUGUGUCUUUAAGGUGCCUGGACAGAAGAGAGGGAGGGAGGGCAGCUGCCCCAUCAGACUCUCUCUCUCUAUCUCUCUCUCUCUCUCUCUCUCUUUCUCAGGAUGGCGCCAAUGCCGCUGCCUUGGGACACCUGAGUGUGGAAGGCGAGCUCGGCCUCAAGCACGGCCAUCCAAGUCAGUCACGGGCACAGGCUGCAGCUGAAGCUGGCAAGCGUUGCUGUAAGGCUGCAAGUGAAGAGAAAGCCAUUGUGGCCAACUCUGCUGAAGCCUUUUGCCAAAGCAAAGGCAAUUGUGCCCACAGCCUCCCCCUGUUUGGCACCCGGCUGCUGCGGACGCCUCAGUGCGCAGGUGCUGACGUUGGGGCUGCUGCUGUUCCUGGGCACACUCUGCUGCUGUUUCUGUGGGCUCCAGAGCCGCUUGGGCAGCAGCCACUGGGCAGCCCUGCUGGAGGAGACAUCGCCACCCUCCCCAUGGUGGCAGCAGCUCUGUGGGCCCCGAGCUCUGUGUCAGGGGGGCCUCGGUCACAGCAGCGUGGCCUGGGCAGCCGCGAGGGCCCGGGCUGGCCGCCAGCCCUGCCUCUGCCCACUGCCCCUUCCUGGAGGCACCCAGUGGCCGUGGCCUGGCAGCACCCCCUGCCCUCCAUGUCCCCAGCCAGCCCAGCCUGGGCACCUCGGGCUGUCCCCACCCUCCCGCUGGGGUGGUGUCCCAGCCUCCAGGCCUUCUGCUGCAGGCCUGGGGGACAUUUUGGGGAAGCACCGGAGCAGCCGGGUGUCAGGGACCAGGCGGCUGCCCGGGGGCUGCUUAUGGCCUCUGACACCCAAUUCCUCAGUGCUUCCCACCACCCCGGCUCCUCCAGGGCCUUCUGUCCCCUUGGAACCUCCUGCCACCCACUCCCUCACACAUCCCCCUCGUGCCUUCCCACUGCCUUGUCCCGUCUGGGCCUCCGCAGCCCCUCAUCCCUUCACGGCCUCCCAGCACCCCGUGCCCUCAGGGGCUCCCCCAGCCUGGCCCGGCAGCAGCGCCGCAGCCCCACAGGAGCUCCAGCAGCUCCUCAGCCAUCACGGCAGCAACACACGGGCAGCAGGACACAGAUGGCGCUUCCUGCCUGCCACAGGGCUUGUGGCUUCAGCACAACCACCAAAGGCCAAGGGGCUUCUGGCCAUUUCCCCUGCACCACUGCACGCCCCGGCAGGUUGCUGAACACAAGAACCCUUUUCCCUCUCUUCCCCUAUGCCCCACACACCCUGGGCAGCAAAAGAAAGGUCUUGGGACUCUUGUGGUUUAUAACAUAUCCUAUAUUAUUUACAUACUAG